GAUCCUCCCGGAGAGGAAAAUCCAGAAGAAAUUCUUAGAGAGGCACAGAGUCCUUCUCCACCACAUGGCUUAGAAGCCCAAUUUCAAAAUGGCGUCAGUGGAGAUUCUACCUACGAGUCACAGUCUGAGGGAGAAGAAUCAGACAUUGAAAUUCAGGAGUUACAGAGAAAUUUUAACAGGCUGCGUUUAACACCGCCUGCCCAGGCUAUUAGAAUUUGGCCAUUAUCUGCUAAAAGGACAAAAUUUAACAGGUACGCUGAAUUAACAAUGACUUUUCUUACCCUGUUCCAGUGAGGUAUUAAGAAGGCACAAGAGGCAGGGGAAGAUAUUAGUGGUUUUCAACUUUUCCCAGUUUUUGAACAAGUUAAUGAACAGGACCAGAGAGUUCGAGUUCAUGCUGUAAUCCCAUUUGAGACUAUUAAGGAAUUGAAAAGUGCUUGUGAGACGUAUGGUCCAAAUACUCCCUUUUGUACAGAACUUAAUUGAUAAUAUUUCUUCACAACCACUUCCACCUAGUGAUUGGAUUUCGUUAGCCAGAUCUUGUUUGAGUGGAGGGGAUUUCUUACUUUGGCAUUCUUAUUGGACUGAUUUUUGUACUGAACAAGCAGAAAAAAAUAGAAAACAAAAUUUACAGACCGCAGUGGAAAUGUUUUUAGGAACAGGUGAAUUUGCUGAUUUGGAAAGACAGUUAAGUUAUGAAUUUGUGGUUUAUGAUCAGAUAACUGACUGUGCUAAAUGUGCCUGGAAACAAAUAGUCUCCAAGGACCAGUCCAAUUUAGUUCUUACCAGAGUCAAGCAGGGUGCGAGUGAACCGUAUUCAGAUUUUGUAGCCCGACUGUAUCAGACAGCAAAUAGGUCUAUCGGAGACCUGGGAGCAUGCGAGUUUAUUGUUAAUCAAUUGGCAUUUGAAAAUGCGAAUAAAUAUUGUCAGGAUGUUCUUAGACCGCACCGUAAAAAAGCAACAGUUUCUGAGUUUAUCCGCUUGUGUUCUGAGAUAGAUUCCACCCAUUUGCAGACAGUAACGCUAGCUACGGCACUGAAAGAAACCCUAAAGCCACAGAAAUUAGUACGGAAACACCGUGGAAGAUGCUAUCUCUGCGGGAGAAAUAAUCAUUUGGCCCGCGAAUGUCGCGCGUAAUUGUAAGUUCAGGGCUCCAUCUACUGUUGAUAAUAGAUAUUGCAGGACUCAACCCGACGUGGCAGAUUAAGAUGGCGUGGAUCAGCCCACCUUCUCACCAUCAUUUCCUCCUAGCGAGAGAACAAAAAACUUCUGGUUGGCCCCUCCCCGGGCCGAGCAAAAAUACGGAGAAUUCGAGGAGGGGUUGCACAGUGUGACGUCACUGGUGCCUUCCAGGACGGCCUGCAAUUUUUACCGGAACGUAAAUCACAGACAGUUUCCUUAGGACCCUCAACGACAAUUGAAUUGAAUCCUGAUUCAGGGCCAAAACAAAUCCCUACUGGGAUUUUCGGGCCGCUUCCUGAUAAUACUAUAGGUUUAAUUUUGGCACAUAAUAAUUUAAAAGGAGCCAUUGAGGUAAUACCUGGUGUGAUAGAUUCAAAUUUUAAAGGACAAUUAAAUGUUACUAUAAGGUCCAACUAUGCCCUAAGGCUUACUCCAAAGAAUGCAUUUGCCCAAUUGAUUUUAUUGCCCUGUGAUUCGGAUAAACACCAGCAAGUAAAUUUAGUUUCUAAACCUCCAGACAGAGUGUACUGGUCUCAAUUAGUGCGACAAGAACGCCCUUUAUCAGAACUUAAAAUUAAUCAUAAAAACUUCAAAGGAAUUCUCGAUACAGGGGCGGAUAUUUCUGUCUUUUCUAGUAGAUUCUGGUGUAGGAAUUGGCCCUUACAUGUAGCACCAGCUAACCUAGAGGGAAUUGGACAAAUUUCACAGCCUGCUCAAAGUGCAAAUUAUCUCCAUUGGGAAGAUUCUGAUGGGAACAGUGGAGUUUUUAAACCUUAUGUGUUAGAGUCUUUACCAGCAAACCUAUGGGGAAGGGAUAUUUUAGCAAAAAUGGGAUUGUUAUUAAUAACUCCAAAUCCUAUAAGGUCAAUUGAGGAAGUUAAUCAGAGGUAUUUUCCUGGAGAUGAUAAGAAGACCUUUCAGGGAGAGUAUCUGUUUACAAACCAGUCUCCACGGCAAAGAUUAGUAAAUGCUCCAAGCCAAAAUUUUUACUAGGGGCCCUGAAUGUUUCCCCGAUCCUAAAGACAGCUGAAAAAAUCACCUGGCUCACAGAGGAGCCUAUAUGGAUUUCUCAGUGGCCCAUCUCAGGGGAAAAACUUAAAAUAAUUCAUAGGUUAGUUGAGGAACAACUUCAGGCUGGUCAUAUAGAACCAACACUGAGUCCUUGGAACACACCUAUUUUUGUUAUUAAGAAAAAGUCAGGAAAUUGGAGAUUGCUACAGGAUUUAAGGGCAAUAAAUCAUGCAAUUCAGCCUAUGGGAUCAUUACAGCCAGGACUUCCUUCCCCCACAGCCAUCCCUUUAAACUAUAGCUUGAUGGUAAUAGAUUUAAAAAAUUGUUUUUUCUCUAUAAGGUUACAUCCUGGAGAUUGUGAGAAAUUUGCCUUCACUGUCCCAGCAAUAAAUUUUAAUGAACCUGUUAAAAGAUAUUGCUGGAAAGUACUCCCCCAGGGAAUGCAUAAUAGUCCUACCUUAUGCCAAAAAUAUGUAGAUCAGGUGAUAGACCCCAUAAGAAAUAGCUUUCCUGAUGCGUAUAUUAUUCAUUUUAUGGAUGAUAUAUUAUUGGCUCAUGCUAAUCCAGAGGUACUUUCAGAAAUUUUUACUCAGAGGCUUCACUUACAGCAAUGGGUUUAUGCAUUGCUCCUCAAAAAAUUCAAAAGAUGCCUCCCUUUCAAUAUUUAGGUCAGAUAAUUCAAGGACGUAUAAUCCGUCCUCAAAAUCUUCAGAUAAGAGUUCAGGAGUUACAUACCCUUAAUGAUUUUCAAAAGCUAUUAGGAGAUAUUAAUUGGCUGAGGCCAUUCUUAAAACUAACUAUUUCUGAGUUAAGUCUUUAUUUCAGAUAUUACAAGGAAAUCCUUCUCCAACCUCUCCAUGUCAGCUGACCUUAGAGGCUAGAACAGCCUUAAAAAGGGUUGAAAAUGCAAUUAAAAAUGCACAAAUUACUAGAGUUUAUCCUAAGGGAAUAGUGUAUUUAUUAAUAUUUCCAACUGAGCAUACCCCAACAGGAGCCAUAUGGCAAAGAUUAGGAGUUAUUGAGUGAAUUUAUUUAUCCCACUCCCCUCAAAAAACAUUAAUUCCUUUUCAUUACUCUAUUGCUCAAUUAGUAAUUAAAGGUAGAACUAGGAUUUUACAAUUAAUGAGAUCUGAGCCUGAUAUCAUAAUUAUUCCAUUUUCUGUUCAACAGACUAAUUGGCUUUUUCAAAAUUCUAGCUUAUGGCAGAUAGCUUUUGCUGAUUUUCCUGGCCAGAUAGAUAGCCAUUACCCUCGUGAUAAGAUUAUCUAAUUUGCAUCAUUAACAUCACUUAUUUUUCCAAAGAUUGUGCAUGCACGUCCUAUAGAUGAAGCCUUAUUGGUGUCCACUGAUGGUUCAAGCUCAGGUAAAGCAGGUUUUUAUAGUUGUGUUCACACAGAGGUAAUACAAACUUCAUAUACUUCUGCCCAAAGAGCAGAGCUUCAAGCUCUGAUUUGUGCCUUAAAUUACUUUUCAAAUGAGCCUAUUAAUAUUUAUUCUGACAGCUUAUAUGCAGUCAGAGUUAUCAAAAAUAUCGAAACUUCAGUUAUUGGGUAUACUUCAUCACAAGAGUUAUUUGAAUUAUUUCAUAAUCUACAGAAGGCAGUGCUAAUGUGAAAAUACCCAUGUUUCAUAGGACACAUAUGGGCUCAUACUAAUCUUCCAGGAUCUUUAGUUUCAGGUAAUGACAAAAUUGAUAAAUUAGUAGGUUUUUGUCAACAGAUGUCUUCAUAUUACUGUGCACAAGCUUCCCAUUCCUUGCAUCAUAAAAAUGCUUCUAGCUUACGUAAAAACUCUAAUAUUACCAGAGAACAAGCUGGUCAAAUUGUAAGCCAAUGCCCUAAGUGUGUUAUUCACACUCCAUCUCCACCAUCAGGGGUAAAUCCCCGUGGAUUAAAACCAAAUCAAAUAUGGCAAAUGGAUGUAACUCAUAUUCCUCAAUUUGGUAAGCAAUGUUAUGUACAUGUCAUAGUGGACACAUAUUCCAGAUUUAUUUUUGCCACAGCAUGUACUAAGGAAAAUACUCAACAUGUAAUUUCUCAUUGCCUAGCAGCUUUUCCUGUGUUAGGGUGCCCUGUGCAGAUUAAAACAGAUAAUGCAUCAGCUUAUGUAAGCUCUUCUUUUCAACAAUUUUGCCAAGAGUUUCAAAUUAAUCAUAAAACAGGAAUUCCUUAUAACCCCCAAGGUCAAGCCAUUGUGGAAUGAGCUCAUUUAUCUAUUAAGCUUCAAUUACAAAAAUUAAAAGGGGGGAAUAGGGUUAUGACUCCCCAAAAUAGCUUCAAUCAUGCCUUGUUCAUUUUAAAUUUUUUAAAUUUUGACGUAGAAGUUCAUACUGCCACUGAGAGGCAAAUGUCUCCCUCAGUAACAGGCCCUUUAGGCAGAGUUUUGUGGAAAGAUUUACAGACUGGUCAAUGGAAAGGCCCAGACCCAGUGAUUAUGUGGGGCAGAGGUCAUGCUUGUAUUUUCCCAGAAGGUGCUUUUCAUCCUAUCUGGGUGCCUGAACACACAAUCAGACAUGGAAGAGAUAGAACCGAGAUUCAAGCAACUGAAGAUCGACCCGGAGAAGCCCCCAUCCAAAAGGAAGAGAUAUCGGAAAAAGACGAAGAGAAACCAGGUUGACCCAGCCAAAAAGCUGAUUUCAUGGGAAUACGUGAAGAAGCUAACAACACAGGCUUCCCGAAUAAUUCGACUCCUAGGAAAGAACAGGACCCCAGUCUUGAUGGUAGUCAGGAUGGCGAGUCUUUGGAACAAGAAUGCAGAAACUCGAAAGAGUGAACCACCGCCUCAUUUUUAAGAGAAAAAAGGGAGAAUAUGUGGGAAGCCAUUCUCACACGUGAUUGGGCACCUCCUGGAUUGGUUGUGAGGCGUUCUGGCCAAACUGUGUCGGAGCUAUCCACACCCUCUCCAGGUGCGAGAGCCUGUCAGUGUGGGGGUGUGACUGACCACUGACCCUGAGACCAAUCACUGACCCUGACCUUGGAAUGCUACCCCCCUCGACCUUCAUUGGAUGGAAUUUCCCCCUGAAUUUCUUGUUCCCCAAUAAAAGGCCACUCCCUGGCAUGCUCUCUCUCUCUCCUGCUAGUCCUGAGUAAGCCUUGCUGCCCCACCGGGUGGUUUGAGGGGAGAGCUGUCUCAGACCUGGUCAUAGAAAAAGGUAA